rnacentral:rRNA from 1 species
GACGAACGCUUGCGGCGUGCUUAACACAUGCAAGUCGAACGGAAAGGCCCUGCUUUUGUGGGGUGCUCGAGUGGCGAACGGGUGAGUAACACGUGAGUAACCUGCCCUUGACUUUGGGAUAACUUCAGGAAACUGGGGCUAAUACCGGAUAGGAGCUCCUGCUGCAUGGUGGGGGUUGGAAAGUUUCGGCGGUUGGGGAUGGACUCGCGGCUUAUCAGCUUGUUGGUGGGGUAGUGGCUUACCAAGGCUUUGACGGGUAGCCGGCCUGAGAGGGUGACCGGCCACAUUGGGACUGAGAUACGGCCCAGACUCCUACGGGAGGCAGCAGUGGGGAAUAUUGCACAAUGGGCGGAAGCCUGAUGCAGCAACGCCGCGUGCGGGAUGACGGCCUUCGGGUUGUAAACCGCUUUCGCCUGUGACGAAGCGUGAGUGACGGUAAUGGGUAAAGAAGCACCGGCUAACUACGUGCCAGCAGCCGCGGUGAUACGUAGGGUGCGAGCGUUGUCCGGAUUUAUUGGGCGUAAGGGCUUGUAGGUGGUUGAUCGCGUCGGAAGUGUAAUCUUGGGGCUUAACCCUGAGCGUGCUUUCGAUACGGGUUGACUUGAGGAAGGUAGGGGAGAAUGGAAUUCCUGGUGGAGCGGUGGAAUGCGCAGAUAUCAGGAGGAACACCAGUGGCGAAGGCGGUUCUCUGGGCCUUUCCUGACGCUGAGGAGCGAAAGCGUGGGGAGCGAACAGGCUUAGAUACCCUGGUAGUCCACGCUGUAAACGGUGGGUACUAGGUGUGGGGUCCAUUCCACGGGUUCCGUGCCGUAGCUAACGCUUUAAGUACCCCGCCUGGGGAGUACGGCCGCAAGGCUAAAACUCAAAGGAAUUGACGGGGCCCCGCACAAGCGGCGGAGCAUGCGGAUUAAUUCGAUGCAACGCGUAGAACCUUACCUGGGUUUGACAUGGAUCGGGAGUGCUCAGAGAUGGGUGUGCCUCUUUUGGGGUCGGUUCACAGGUGGUGCAUGGCUGUCGUCAGCUCGUGUCGUGAGACGUUGGGUUAAGUCCCGCAACGAGCGCAACCCUUGUUCACUGUUGCCAGCACGUUAUGGUGGGGACUCAGUGGAGACCGCCGGGGUCAACUCGGAGGAAGGUGGGGAUGACGUCAAGUCAUCAUGCCCCUUAUGUCCAGGGCUUCACGCAUGCUACAAUGGCUGGUACAGAGAGUGGCGAGCCUGUGAGGGUGAGCGAAUCUCGGAAAGCCGGUCUCAGUUCGGAUUGGGGUCUGCAACUCGACCUCAUGAAGUCGGAGUCGCUAGUAAUCGCAGAUCAGCAACGCUGCGGUGAAUACGUUCCCGGGGCU